UACGUAGGGGGCAAGCGUUGUCCGGAUUUAUUGGGCGUAAAGCGUGCGUAGGCGGUUCGUUAAGUUCGUUGUGAAAGCCCCGGGCUCAACCUGGGAACUGCAAUGGAAACUGGCGGGCUUGAGCGUGGCAGAGGGGGGUGGAAUUCCGCGUGUAGCAGUGAAAUGCGUAGAGAUGCGGAGGAACACCGAUGGCGAAGGCAGCCCCCUGGGCCAACACUGACGCUCAGGCACGAAAGCGUGGGGAGCAAACAGG
rnacentral:rRNA from 1 species